rnacentral:rRNA from 1 species
UGAGGAAUAUUGGGCAAUGCCCGUAAGGGUGACCCAGCAACGCCGCGUGGAGGAUGAAUGUCGUAAGAUUGUAAACUCCUGUGAGAGGGGACGAAAGUCUAUGCACCGUAAGAUGCGUAGUUUGACUGUACCCUCAGAGGAAGCCCCGGCUAACUACGUGCCAGCAGCCGCGGUAAUACGUAGGGGGCAAGCGUUGUCCGGAUUUACUGGGUGUAAAGGGCGCGUAGGCGGAUUGAUAAGUUAGAGGUGAAAUCCUGCAGCUCAACUGCAGAACUGCCCCUAAUACUGUCAAUCUUGAGUUCAGAAGAGAGAAGCGGAAUUCCAGGUGUAGUGGUGAAAUACGUAGAUAUCUGGAAGAACACCAGUUGCGUAGGCGGCUUCUUGGUCUGAUACUGACGCUGAGGUGCGAAAGCGUGGGGAGCAAACAGG